rnacentral:rRNA from 1 species
UGGUGGCGAGUGGCGAACGGGUGAGUAAUACAUCGGAACGUGUCCUGUAGUGGGGGAUAGCCCGGCGAAAGCCGGAUUAAUACCGCAUACGCUCUACGGAGGAAAGGGGGGGAUCUUAGGACCUCCCGCUACAGGGGCGGCCGAUGGCAGAUUAGCUAGUUGGUGGGGUAAAGGCCUACCAAGGCGACGAUCUGUAGCUGGUCUGAGAGGACGACCAGCCACACUGGGACUGAGACACGGCCCAGACUCCUACGGGAGGCAGCAGUGGGGAAUUUUGGACAAUGGGGGCAACCCUGAUCCAGCAAUGCCGCGUGUGUGAAGAAGGCCUUCGGGUUGUAAAGCACUUUUGUCCGGAAAGAAAACGCCGUGGUUAAUACCCGUGGCGGAUGACGGUACCGGAAGAAUAAGCACCGGCUAACUACGUGCCAGCAGCCGCGGUAAUACGUAGGGUGCAAGCGUUAAUCGGAAUUACUGGGCGUAAAGCGUGCGCAGGCGGUCCGCUAAGACAGAUGUGAAAUCCCCGGGCUUAACCUGGGA